rnacentral:lncRNA from 1 species
AUAGAGCAUUAGUAACUCCAGCUGAAAUAGCGUAAAUAAUUAUCUAAACAUAAGAAACAUAAAUACAAUCGCAUGCAAUAAUAUCAUACAGUAAAUACCAUAACUAACAGCCAUAGGAGGGACAUAUGCUAAAACACAAAUCAUCUAUGGGUAACCCUGCUGACCCACACCCAACCCCGGAUGAGGCGUACGAAAAACUCUAGGAGCCCCUAUCCUACAACCCGGUUCUAGACCUCCAGACUUUCCUAUCAAGGGUCAUGUCCUCGUAAACCUGCAUUCUAGCCAUGUCCUGCCUAAUCACCUCUCCCCAAUACUUCUUAGGCCUCUCUCUGCCUCGCCGACCACCAACAAUCUCCAGCCGCUCGCAGCUCCUCACCGGGGCAUCGGGACN